rnacentral:rRNA from 1 species
GGGGGCCGAUUUGGGUGAGGAGACUUGCUCUCUAAGCCCGGGUUGGCCGCAGAGACCAGGCCCAAGCGACUGUUUACUAAAAACACAGGUCCAUGCGAAGUCGCAAGACGCUGUAUAUGGACUGACGCCUGCCCGGUGCUGGAACGUUAAGGGGACGGGUUAGCAACUUCGGUUGCGAAGCUCAGAACUUAAGCGCCAGUAAACGGCGGUGGUAACUAUAACCAUCCUAAGGUAGCGAAAUUCCUUGUCGGGUAAGUUCCGACCUGCACGAAUGGCGUAACGACUUGGGCGCUGUCUCAACCGUAGACUCGGCGAAAUUGCACUACGAGUAAAGAUGCUCGUUACGCGCGGCAGGACGGAAAGACCCCGGGACCUUUACUACAGCUUGGUAUUGGUGGUCGAUUCAAUUUGUGUAGGAUAGGUGGG